CUUCCACUUAAGCAUUUUAGGUACGUCAGCCAAAGUUUCUUUGAAUUUGCGGAGAACUUAGCAAUGUUUGUCUAGAUUUAAUUGAUUGCUUAAGCAGAUGAAAAACUUUCGAUUUUACUAUAAAAUUUCAGAAGAAAAAAAUGGAAGCUGCAGACUGUGCUCAAUGCAUUCUUCACCAUCGAAAGUAUAGGAAAAGUCGAAAAAAUUUAUGAAAAAGAAAAAUUUUAAAAAAUGGUCGAAAUCAGAUUGUUUUUUUGUUCCAAAUUGAAAUAUAUAAUGUCAGUAAUCUAAGAAAAAUAAUGCGCUGGUCGCAAGCGGGAUCCCGAACAAGAUAUUGAAGAGAUUGACAUGACUGGGCUGAUUGCAAGUAGUGCCUUAAGGUAUGUAUUAAUGCUAGAACGUUACAAGUAUAGUAUUGGAAAUAUUUUGUUAAUUGGCACAUUUCUUUUGUUUGGUUUGAGCGACAUGACAGCAGCAAGUUGCUGCAUCGGACAUGAUCGAUGUUCGCACAAGUGUUAAAUAGUUGGACCUAAAAUUGAAUACAUAUCCAUGGAAAACUCUUAAAUUGGUAAAAGCAUCUGAUACUCUUUGGAUAGGUAUACUCUUCUACCUACACUCUUGUCGAUUCGAAUUGCCUCUUACAGUAAUACAAAUGAGAUUAGCUUCUAAGGUAUCUACAGUCUUCAGAAAUGGUCAAGUUCGUAAUUAAAAAGGCUUGGUUUUAACCUGUUUAUGGACAUUGUCUAUAUAAUCGUCAGCGAAAUCUUCAAGCAUAGUGUGAGAUACACCUGUAUACCCAUAGUUGACGAGCAGAUAAUCGUAAGGCCUUUUAUUUGACUUUCAUUACUUAUUAUUACUUUAAUCACUUUUUAAGUAAUUUUCUUCAAAAUAAACCACCGAUAUCUCACUCGACAUUUAAAAAGAGCUAUCUGUAUAUCCACCUGAUGACAUUCCAUAGUCAUCGAGUACAGCUUUGUAGUUUUUCAAUAAGACACCCAUUCCCG